rnacentral:lncRNA from 1 species
UUAGAUGGAGCAGAUAAGCUCAAUCGCAGGGGAGUGUGAACCAGCCUAAGGAGGGUGAAGCCAACCAGAUUCACAUGGGCUUAGAAGGAUUGCAUAAGCCCAAUAUGAAUCGAUAUGAAGGGAUACGGAGGUCCAUUCAUCCUCCAUCUCCUAACCAAAACGAAAAUAAACUUCUUCACCUAAACAAAACAAAUCUCUAGUGCAUGGUUCUCACACUGAUCAAAUUGAAUGCCGAAUGAAAACGGAAUGAGAUUUGACCAUGAUUACACCAUUGUAAAUGAAUCGACCAACGAAAAGAGAUAAGGGAGCCUACCGACAAUGGUGAAGGCGGAUCCUCCGACGAACGUCAGAUUCGAAGCUCGGGUAUUUGCUCUUCGUACUAGAUGAUUCUUCAAUCUUCUUCCCUUGGUUUUGUUAUUGGUUGUUUCUAUGACGUGAGGCUUGGAUUUGUUGCUCGGUUUUGUGAUGAAUUGUGAUUCGUCUUCGUGAAUAUUCACAGGAAUUGGUGGUGCGGUGAGAGCUAUGAGUUGAAGGAAUUACGGUGUCGGUGAUGUAAUGAGUUCGACUUGCAGAGUUUAAAACAAACGGAUGAGAAUGGUGCAAGAAGUUCGUUGUGCAGAUGGUGGUGGUUCGUCCGUGAUCCAACCGAGGAAGAAGAACUCUUCAUUGCUAGUUCAUGAUCUUAUAUAUAACUCAUUUACAAUUGGAUGUGAGGUUUUAAUUUUGAUGUUGCAGGUCGCGUUUUUCAGUGCGUUUGCAUUUUAUCAUUCGUCUUGCAAAUUCAUUUGUUGCAUUCUUUCGUGCUGCUUACGUGUACUCAACCUUGCACUUCUUUCACCUGCAUUUUUUUUUCCUUUUUUGUCUUAUUUGGUGCUAUUUGGAAUUGGAUUUUUCACUCCUGUCUUCGUUACAACCACCAUAAUUUUCUUUAAAAAUUGAAUAUAUGUACUAAAUUUGUUGAAAAUGACAAUGGGGAUAAUUAGAAAACAUACGGGAGGUUUGCAAUUGAAAUAUAAGUCUUAGUAAUCAUUUUAUUCCAAAACCGUGAACUCAGACGAGGUAAAAGCCUUCAAAAUCCUUAUUCAAACCGUAAUAUUUUGGAUCGAACUCUGGUG